UACGGAGGGUGCGAGCGUUGUCCGGAAUCAUUGGGCGUAAAGGGCGCGUAGGCGGCUUGGCAAGUGGAAGGUGAAAUCCCUCGGCUUAACCGAGGAACUGCCCUCCAAACUGCUUUGCUUGAGGCCGGGAGAGGCGAGUGGAAUUCCCAGUGUAGCGGUGAAAUGCGUAGAUAUUGGGAGGAACACCAGUGGCGAAGGCGGCUCGCUGGACCGGUUCUGACGCUGAGGCGCGAAAGCGUGGGGAGCAAACGGG
rnacentral:rRNA from 1 species